rnacentral:rRNA from 1 species
GAUGAACGCUGGCGGUGUGCCUAAUACAUGCAAGUCGAGCGAACGGACGAGAAGCUUGCUUCUCUGAUGUUAGCGGCGGACGGGUGAGUAACACGUGGAUAACCUACCUAUAAGACUGGGAUAACUUCGGGAAACCGUAGCUAAUACCGGAUAAUAUUUUGAACCGCAUGGUUCAAAAGUGAAAGACGGUCUUGCUGUCACUUAUAGAUGGAUCCGCGCUGCAUUAGCUAGUUGGUAAGGUAACGGCUUACCAAGGCAACGAUGUAUAGCCGACCUGAGAGGGUGAUCGGCCACACUGGAACUGAGACACGGUCCAGACUCCUACGGGAGGCAGCAGUAGGGAAUCUUCCGCAAUGGGCGAAAGCCUGACGGAGCAACGCCGCGUGAGUGAUGAAGGUCUUCGGAUCGUAAAACUCUGUUAUUAGGGAAGAACAUAUGUGUAAGUAACUGUGCACAUCUUGACGGUACCUAAUCAGAAAGCCACGGCUAACUACGUG